UGAGAUCGAAAAUUAUUGAAACGUGUGUGAAACUGUGUGGGUGAGAUCGAAACUUAUUGAAACGUGUGUGAAACUGUGGGUAAGAUCGAAACUUAUUGAAACGGGCGUGAAACUGUGUGGGUGAGAUCGAAACUUAUUGAAACGUGUGUGAAACUGUGGGUGAGAUCGAAACUUAUUGAAACGUGCGUGAAACUGUGUGGGUGAGAUCGAAACUUAUUGAAACGUGCGUGAAACUGUGUGGGUGAGAUCGAAACUUAUUGAAACGUGUGUGAAACUGUGUGGGUGAGAUCGAAACUUAUUGAAACGUGCGUGAAACUGUGUGGGUGAGAUCGAAACUUAUUGAAACGUGUGUGAAACUGUGUGGGUGAGGACGAAACUUAUUGAAACGUGUGUGAAACUGUGUGGGUGAGGACGAAACUUAUUGAAACGUGUGUGAAACUGUGUGGGUGAGGACGAAACUUAUUGAAACGUGUGUGAAACUGUGUGGGUGAGAUCGAAACUUAUUGAAACGUGUGUGAAACUGUGUGUGAGAUCGAAACUUAUUGAAACGUGUGUGAAACUGUGGGUGAGAUCGAAACUUAUUGAAACGUGUGAAACUGUGUGGGUGAGGACGAAACUUAUUGAAACGUGUGUGAAACUGUGUGGGUGAGAUCGAAACUUAUUGAAACGUGCGUGAAACUGUGGGUGAGAUCGAAACUUAUUGAAACGUGUGUGAAACUGUGUGGGUGAGAUCGAAACUUAUUGAAACGUGUGUGAAACUGUGUGGGUGAGAUCGAAACUUAUUGAAACGUGUGUGAAACUGUGUGGGUGAGAUCGAAACUUAUUGAAACGUGCGAUGAAAUUGUGGAAGAGAAUGAUACAAACUGAGACAUGUGUGAAACUGUGUGGAAGAGGACGAUACAGACUGAAACGCGUGAAACUGUGUGGGUGAGAACGAAACAGUCUGAAACAUGGAUGAAACUUGAGUGAAAGAAGCGAUACAGAUUGAAAAAUGUCUGAAACUGUGUGAAAGAGAACGAAACUUAUUGAAACAUGAAACUGUGAGAACGAAAGCCAUUGAAACGUGUGUGAAACUAUGUGGAUAAAAUCGAUACAGUCUGAAAUGUGUGUGAAACUGUGGAAGAGAACGAAACCUAUUGAAACGUCCGUGAAACUGGAUAUAAACGAAACUUGAAACACGUCUGACCUACAAAACCUGCAUUAUCCGAAGCCUGUUUCAUUUUAAGCCCACAUUCUCAGCCAUUUUGGGACACACACACACACACACACACACACACACACACACACACAUUUGAUAAGGCUUUCGUAGAAGAGGUUAAUUGAGUGGGUGUCAGUAUUUCCAUGGGUAGUUUUAUGGGCCUAGUGACAGUUUGACAAGACUUCUGUACCAUGAACCUGAAGAAAAAAACUCAUGAAAACACUACUAACCUCCUUUGUGAGAUUUGGAAAUGUUGCGAGAGCCGAAACCGUCUGAGAAUAUGGGUUUGAGAUCGGUAUUAUAAGACACUUUCGGCUCUCACAUCACCUACUUAUAAAGGUCAAAAACGGGAUCAGUCGGGUUCUAAUGAGUGUUUUUUUAGGUUCACGUUACUAAAGAAGAGUCAAACUACCACCUGGGUCAUGAAACUCCCCCUGGAAAUGCCCACAACUCAUACGAAAGUCUUGUUAAAUAUGUGUGUACUUGGGCGCCGAAAUGGUUGAAAAUAUGGCCCUUAAUUAGUCUACCAUGUUAUAAGGUUGAUUAUUACUUGUGUCUGUUACUGGUGCAGAGUUUUGAGAUAUAAGAUUGAGAAGAAUGAAGAUCCAAUGCUAUUUAAACCCUUUCUCUCUCAUAUAAGAUUGAGAAGAAUGAAGAUCCAAUAUGCUAUUUAAACCCUUUCUCUCUCAUAUAAGAUUGAGAGGAAUGAAGAUCCAAUAUGCUAUGUAAACCCUUUCUCUCUCAUAUAAGAUUGAGAGGAAUGAAGAUCCAAUAUGCUAUGUAAACCCUUUCUCUCUCGUAUAAGAUUGAGAGGAAUGAAGAUCCAAUGCUAUUUAAACCCUUUCUCUCUCAUAUAAGAUUGAGAAGAAUGAAGAUCCAAUAUGCUAUGUAAAUCCCUUCUCUCUCAUAUAAGAUUGAGAGGAAUGAAGAUCCAAUAUGCUAUGUAAAUCCUUUCUCUCUCAUAUAAGAUUGAGAAGAAUGAAGAUCCAAUAUGCUAUGUAAACCCUUUCUCUCUCGUAUAAGAUUGAGAGGAAUGAAGAUCCAAUAUGCUAUGUAAACCCUUUCUCUCUCAUAUAAGAUUGAGAGGAAUGAAGAUCCAAUAUGCUAUGUAAGCCCUUUCUCUCAUGACUGUAUAAAGAAAUCUCUCUCUCUCUCCCUCUCUCUCUCCUCCUUUCUCUCGUCUUCCUUAAUUGUUCGUUCGUGAAUCUGUUAUCCGUUAUACUCUUUCUGUUAACAUAGACCAUACGUAUCUGUUGUUGUAUAAAGAACAGUAAUAAUAAUAAUAAUAAUAAUACCUACUUGCC